UGGAGCUAUGGAUGGGACUCAUGU
rnacentral:siRNA from 1 species